AUAUACCAAAGUAGGCUUGUUCUUAUAUUUUAAAUUUCUUAUGUGAAAUUAAUACGAUUCUACUUCAGUCUCUGACUAAACAUCAAACUGCAACGUUGUGUGUGAAGUGAACUCCUGAAAUUAAAAUAAAUUGAUACUUUGGUGGAAGAAAGAAGUUUUCAAG